rnacentral:misc_RNA from 1 species
AUAACAUACACAAGAAGGACUUCGCUUCGAGACGACCAAUAUACGCCUCCUAUCCUGUAACUGUCCGCGCCGCCCCCUAAAACCUGGAACAUCUUUUUCAACAAUAAAACGGCUGGUCUUUCAAAAGGUAAUCGAACGGUUGUUAAUGAACCAUUCCCUUGCCGAGUAAAAAAACUGAUCCCAACUCGCAAAAAGUUGGAGGUAAUUACUGCAUAGGUUUCUUUAUGUAUUAGCCAGAGCUGGUACAAACACUACUUUCUUCUUUUUUCACAGUAGACUUAAGAUACUAAUUAUUCGCUACUAAUUAUCGGUCGACAUAAAUUUUAUUUCGCUGUGUGGCAGCAAAGAAUAUAGCCACAUGAUGAUGAAAUAUUAUUGUUUAUUUUUUUAGAGUUAAUUUUUUGUGUCACCUGAUAGCGAUGGUUACUCAUAGUAGGGAAUAAUAUCCACAAACCCUCGUUGGAGUAGCGUGGUAGAUUAAGUUCUGAUCCAAACGCAACAAGGCAACGAUUUAGGUUGAUGGUCUUUAUAAGUUUUCCCGACUCUAUUUACUUUAUAAUAUUUUAAAAUGUAAGUAGAACUUGUUACAUUUUUAUAAUUCCAACGUUUCUUGAUUAAAGUGUUUGUAUGUAUUGUGGUUCAUUUAUGCUUCAUGAUUUUUAUCGUCAUUAUCUAUUAUAAUACGUAUGUUUUAAAUUAUGAAUGAAUAUCGCUUAGUAAACUGAUAUUAUGAUUAUUAAUUAAGGUUCUUCCUUAUUAUUGUUUACCAACAGACCAAUAUACGCCCCCUAUCCUGUAGCUGUCCGCGCCGCCCCCUAAAACCUGGGACAGCUUUUUCAACAAUAAAACGGUUGUUCAUAAAACAUUCCGUUGCCGACUAAAGAGCUUGAUCCCAGCUCGCACAAAGUUGGAGGUAAUUACUGAUUACGUUUUAUUUUAUUCAAUAUCGAGAAUACAAAUGAGGAAGUAAACUAUGUUAUUAAAACUUAUAAUGCAUUUAUUAUACUUUGCUAGGUCACAUUAUUCUGUACCUAAUAACAUGGAGUAGUGUUGAUUGCUACAUUGAUCAUUUUGCACACAAUUGUUGCCAUUAGUAGCUUAUAGCAAAAAAAAAAAAAUUUAACGACUUCUAAUUUAAUUUCAGGUCAAUAAUAUCUAUUUAUUCAACGAGUACAUUGGUCUUAGUCCGUCUAUUGCAGACAAUUUAGACAGUGUCAGACAGACACUGUGUCGCCUAGGACACUCUUC